rnacentral:lncRNA from 1 species
AAAAUGCCUAUGUAAAUUCUUAAAGCUCAGUGUUAUCGACCUUCUAGGCAUAGCGCCAACCGCCAGGGAAAAAGGCCAUCUAUUUUUGUUUUAUAUAUGAAGGGAAAAUAUCCUAUACAAUCACUUAUCCUGGUGCAAGCAUGCAAUCAAGCGAUCUGGUGCAUCCGAUCUAGAUCUAAUGAUGACUGUUAUUUUAUAUUUAACCCCUUCCACCUAAAACAUAGUACCUAUUUUACUUUUAACCCCUUCCAUAUGAAACCGUUGGAUCUAGAUUGGAUGCUCUGGAUAGUUUGAUUGCACGCUUGCACCAAAAUGAGUGAUUGCACAGGAUAUGUCCUCAUAUAUGAAUGCAUCAUCUGUACUAAUUAUGGCUGCACAGACCUUUUGAAAGAGAGCUGCUGAUUUGUGUACCAUAUUUUUCAUCCAUUGCUUCUGCAUUCUCGUUACAUGGGUUAU